rnacentral:misc_RNA from 1 species
AGUUGUGAAGUGUACAAUUCUGGGUCAUUUCUGAAAUGAUCAACGUGAGGUGUAGAAACGAAGUUGCAAGCUCUAACAUUGCGACCAGUUCUUCGUUGCUCUUCAACAAAGGACUCAACCGAAACUGCAGGAAUGACUCUGUCGGAACUGCUGUAUAUGUAUAAUUGAGGGCAACUUGGUUGCCGGGAUGUUAAUAGAUCUAGAACGUCAGAAAGCCUCCUAUUU